CACAAUGGGGGAAACCCCGAUGCAGCGAUGCCGCGUGAGUGAAGAAGGCCCUUGGGUUGUAAAACUCUUUCGUCGGGGAAGAAAAUGACUGUACCCGAAUAAGAAGGUCCGGCUAACUUCGUGCCAGCAGCCGCGGUAAUACGAAGGGACCUAGCGUAGUUCGGAAUUACUGGGCUUAAAGAGCUCGUAGGUGGUUAAAAAAGUUGAUGGUGAAAUCCCAAGGCUCAACCUUGGAACUGCCUUCAAAACUUUUUAGCUAGAGUGUGAUAGAGGUAAGUGGAAUUUCUAGUGUAGAGGUGAAAUUCGUAGAUAUUAGAAAGAACACCAAAUGCGAAGGCAACUUACUGGGUCACUACUGACACUGAGGAGCGAAAGCAUGGGUAGCGAAGAGGAUUAGAUACCCUCGUAGUCCAUGCCGU
rnacentral:rRNA from 1 species